UUACAGCCAUGUUAAAACACCGGUUCCCGGACGAUCACUGAAGUUAAACAACGUUGAGGCUAGUCAGUACCUAGGUGGGUGACCACUUGGAAAUACCACAGGUGCUG